rnacentral:rRNA from 1 species
GAUGAACGCUCGCUACAGGCUUAACACAUGCAAGUCGAGGGGCAGCAUGAACUUAGCUUGCUAAGUUUGAUGGCGACCGGCGCACGGGUGAGUAACACGUAUCCAACCUGCCGAUGACUCGGGGAUAGCCUUUCGAAAGAAAGAUUAAUACCCGAUGGCAUAGUUCUUCCGCAUGGUAGAACUAUUAAAGAAUUUCGGUCAUCGAUGGGGAUGCGUUCCAUUAGGUUGUUGGCGGGGUAACGGCCCACCAAGCCUUCGAUGGAUAGGGGUUCUGAGAGGAAGGUCCCCCACAUUGGAACUGAGACACGGUCCAAACUCCUACGGGAGGCAGCAGUGAGGAAUAUUGGUCAAUGGACGAGAGUCUGAACCAGCCAAGUAGCGUGAAGGAUGACUGCCCUAUGGGUUGUAAACUUCUUUUAUACGGGAAUAAAGUGAGGCACGGGUGCCUUUUUGUAUGUACCGUAUGAAUAAGAAUCGGCUAACUCCGUG